AUACGUAUGUCGCAAGCGUUAUCCGGAUUUAUUGGGCGUAAAGCGCGUCUAGGCGGUUUAGUAAGUCUGAUGUGAAAAUGCGGGGCUCAACCCCGGAUUGCGUUGGAAACUGCUAAACUAGAGUACUGGAGAGGUAGGCGGAACUACAAGGGUAGCGGGGAAAUUCGUAGAUAUUUGUAGGAAUGCCGAUGGGGAAGCCAGCCUACUGGACAGAUACUGACGCUAAAGUGCGAAAGCGUGGGUAGCAAACAGGAUUAGAUACCCUGGUAGUCCACGCCGUAAACGAUGAUUACUAGGUGUUGGGGGUCGAACCUCAGCGCCCAAGCUAACGCGAUAAGUAAUCCGCCUGGGGAGUACGUACGCAAGUAUGAAACUUAAAGGAAUCGACGGGG
rnacentral:rRNA from 1 species